rnacentral:ncRNA from 1 species
AACCUGGUUGAUCUUGCCAGUAGUCAUAUGCUUGUCUCAAAGAUUAAGCCAUGCAAGUGAAAGUAUAUGCAUAUUUUAUAUGUAGAAACUGCGAACGGCUCAUUAAAACAGUUAUAAUCUACUUGAAAUUUCUACCUUACAAGGAUAACUACGGAAAAGCUGUAGCUAAUACUUGCUUUAAUGCGUUUGAAUCCUUUUGGAUUCCCGCGUAUGUACUUGUUAAGCCUUUAAGAAAGAAGUUUAUAACUUAAGGAAUUAUAACAAAGAAGUAACACAUAAUAAGGUUGCCUUAUUUAGUGUGUAUCAAUCGAGUUUCUGACCUAUCAGCUUUUGAUGUUAGGGUAUUGGCCUAACAUGGCUAUGACGGGUAACGGGGAAUUAGAGUUCGAUUCCGGAGAGGGAGCCUGAGAAAUAGCUACCACAUCUAAGGA